ACGAACGCUGGCGGCGUGCCUAACACAUGCAAGUCGAACGGAGUAAUUUGGCGGAAGUUUUCGGAUGGAAGCUGAUUUACUUAGUGGCGGACGGGUGAGUAACACGUGAGUAACCUGCCUCUCAGAGGGGGAUAACGUCUUGAAAAGGACGCUAAUACCGCAUGACAUCUUAUGGCCGCAUGGUUGUGAGAUCAAAGGAGCAAUCCGCUGAGAGAUGGACUCGCGUCCGAUUAGCCAGUUGGCGGGGUAACGGCCCACCAAAGCAACGAUCGGUAGCCGGACUGAGAGGUUGAACGGCCACAUUGGGACUGAGACACGGCCCAGACUCCUACGGGAGGCAGCAGUGGGGGAUAUUGCACAAUGGGGGAAACCCUGAUGCAGCAACGCCGCGUGAAGGAUGAAGGUCUUCGGAUUGUAAACUUUUGUCCUAUGGGAAGAAGAAAGUGACGGUACCAUAGGAGGAAGCUCCGGCUAACUACGUGCCAGCAGCCGCGGUAAUACGUAGGGAGCAAGCGUUGUCCGGAUUUACUGGGUGUAAAGGGUGCGUAGGCGGAAGAGCAAGUCAGUAGUGAAAUCUGGGGGCUUAACCCCCAAACUGCUAUUGAAACUGUUCUUCUUGAGUGGAGUAGAGGUAGGCGGAAUUCCCGGUGUAGCGGUGAAAUGCGUAGAGAUCGGGAGGAACACCAGUGGCGAAGGCGGCCUACUGGGCACCAACUGACGCGGAGGCUCGAAAGUGUGGGUAGCAAACAGGAUUAGAUACCCUGGUAGUCCACACAGUAAACGAUGAAUACUCGCUGUUGGCGAUAUACAGUCAGCGGCCAAGCGAAAGCAUUAAGUAUUCCACCUGGGGAGUACGCCGGCAACGGUGAAACUCAAAGGAAUUGACGGGGGCCCGCACAAGCAGUGGAGUAUGUGGUUUAAUUCGAAGCAACGCGAAGAACCUUACCAAAUCUUGACAUCCCUCUGACCGGCUCUUAAUCGAGUCUUUCCUUCGGGACAGAGGUGACAGGUGGUGCAUGGUUGUCGUCAGCUCGUGUCGUGAGAUGUUGGGUUAAGUCCCGCAACGAGCGCAACCCUUGUGAUUAGUUGCUACGCAAGAGCACUCUAAUCAGACUGCCGUUGACAAAACGGAGGAAGGUGGGGACGACGUCAAAUCAUCAUGCCCCUUAUGACCUGGGCCACACACGUACUACAAUGGCCGUCAACAGAGAGAAGCAAGACCGCGAGGUGGAGCAAAACUCUAAAAACGGUCCCAGUUCGGAUUGCAGGCUGCAACCCGCCUGCAUGAAGUUGGAAUUGCUAGUAAUCGCGGAUCAGCAUGCCGCGGUGAAUACGUUCCCGGGCCUUGUACACACCGCCCGUCACACCAUGGGAGCCGGUAAUACCCGAAGUCAGUAGCCUAACCGCAAGGAGGGCGCUGCCGAAGGUAGGAUUGGCGACUGGGGUG
rnacentral:rRNA from 1 species